GGGUGCAUGGUCUAGGGGUUACGAUUCUCGCUUUGGGUGUGGUUCAUUGCGAGAGGUCCUGAGUUCGAUUCUCAGUGCACCCC